AGUGUUGUAACCAAUCCAAAUCUAAAGCAUGACGUUUGACAUAAGAGCGCAUUACUAUAAAAUAUGGACAUUUGGUGUGGUUCUUUUGCUAAUUGCCGUCAUUGUAUUUUGCAUAUGGGGAAGACCAAGAUACAUGGAAUACGGAAUGAGUGUUGUUUUGAUCUUUGUGAUUAGUUUAAAUGCCAUCCUCAUACUAACAAUAACGGAUACAAGUCCAUUAGUCUACUGGUGCAAAAAUGUUUUCGCCAUCUGGUUGCUCGCAGUUGGGGCUGUCUUAGCUUUUAUGGUUCAUCAAUAGAUGGAAGAAAAUUUCAAAAGGACGCAAGGCAUUUUGUAGUUUGCUUUAAAAUUUCGCGACUCUCGGUCACUAACUUACUCACGCGUAACGUGGGACUGCAUAAAUUUUAAUGUUUUUUAUUCACAAUAUACUUCUUUAUUAAUACGAACAACACUUUAAUUGUAAAUAACACGGUAACAGUAAUAAAUGACAAAACCAAA